AUCCAGAUGAUGAGUCCCAAAUAGGACGAAAUGUGCAUCCUGGAU
rfam:Trichobilharzia regenti genome assembly, scaffold: TRE_scaffold0015136